AUGCUGCCCAUGUUUUCAAGCCUUGUUUCAACAAAGAAAAAUCAAAUUUUUAUGGUACUUUGCUGUCAAAAACAGAAGCCUGCAAAACAGUCCCAAAAUGCCCAAAAAUGCUACAAAUCAAUCCCCAAAAAAACAGCAGCUUGUAUCAGUCCAAAACCUGCUGAAAAAACUUCUAAAAAAUCUGUUGUAAACCAGUCUAUACAGCCUGCUGCCCUGCAUCAUGACAACCUAAAAAUUGCAUAA